GAUGAACGCUGGCGGCGUGCCUAAUACAUGCAAGUCGAGCGAACAGACGAGGAGCUUGCUCCUCUGACGUUAGCGGCGGACGGGUGAGUAACACGUGGAUAACCUACCUAUAAGACUGGGAUAACUUCGGGAAACCGGAGCUAAUACCGGAUAAUAUAUUGAACCGCAUGGUUCAAUAGUGAAAGACGGUUUUGCUGUCACUUAUAGAUGGAUCCGCGCCGCAUUAGCUAGUUGGUAAGGUAACGGCUUACCAAGGCAACGAUGCGUAGCCGACCUGAGAGGGUGAUCGGCCACACUGGAACUGAGACACGGUCCAGACUCCUACGGGAGGCCGCAGUAGGGAAUCUUCCGCAAUGGGCGAAAGCCUGACGGAGCACCGCCGCGUGAGUGAUGAAGGUCUUCGGAUCGUAAAACUCUGUUAUUAGGGAAGAACAAAUGUGUAAGUAACUAUGCACGUCUUGACGGUACCUACUCAGAAAGCCACGGCUAACUCCGUG
rnacentral:rRNA from 1 species